CCGUAGCCCAAGAGAUCGGGAUAACACCUGGGAACAGAUGCUAAUACCGGAUAACAAUAGAUGAUGCCUAUCAACUGUUUAAAAGAUGGUUCUGCUAUCACUCUUGGAUGGACCUGCGGUGCAUUAGCUAGUUGGUAGGGUAACGGCCUACCAAGGCGAUGAUGCAUAGCCGAGUUGAGAGACUGAUCGGCCACAUUGGGACUGAGACACGGCCCAAACUCCUACGGGAGGCAGCAGCC
rnacentral:rRNA from 1 species